rnacentral:rRNA from 1 species
UACGAAGGGGGCUAGCGUUGCUCGGAAUCACUGGGCGUAAAGGGUGCGUAGGCGGGUCUUUAAGUCAGGGGUGAAAUCCUGGAGCUCAACUCCAGAACUGCCUUUGAUACUGAGGAUCUUGAGUUCGGGAGAGGUGAGUGGAACUCCGAGUGUAGAGGUGAAAUUCGUAGAUAUUCGGAAGAACACCAGUGGCGAAGGCGACACACUGGCCCGUUACUGACGCUGAGGCGCGAAAGCGUGGGGAGCAAACAGG